CCUACGGGAGGCAGCAGUGGGGAAUAUUGGGCAAUGGGCGCAAGCCUGACCCAGCAACGCCGCGUGAAGGAAGAAGGCCCUCGGGUUGUAAACUUCUUUUGUCAGGGACGAAGCAAGUGACGGUACCUGACGAAUAAGCAACGGCUAACUACGGGCCAGCAGCCGCGGGAAUACGUAGGUGGCAAGCGUUAGCCGGAUUGACUGGGUGUAAAGGGCGUGUAGGCGGGGAAGCAAGUCAGAGGUUAAAUUCCAGGGCUCAACCCUGGAACUGCAUUUGAAACUGUUUUUCUUGAGUGAUGGCGCGCCCGGCCGCAUUCCGUGUGUAGCGGUGAAAUGCGUCGAUAUACGGAGGAA
rnacentral:rRNA from 1 species